AUGUAGGACAAUCUAUCUUUAAGUAGGGGUAAAUUACUCUUAAAAAAUAUAUAUUAUAGCUUUCCCUUCAAGCCAAGCAUCAUAU
rnacentral:pre_miRNA from 1 species